GUUCCUGUGGCCUAGUGGUUAGAGCGUCCGCCUCUGACGCGGGAGGUUGUGGGUUUGAUGCCCGGCCAACCCAUACCAAAGACA